rnacentral:rRNA from 1 species
AUGAAGCUGGAAUUGCUAGUAAUGGCAGGUCAGCAUACUGCCGUGAAUACGUUCCCGGGCCCUUGUACACACCGCCCGUCACACCAUGAGAGUUGGAAAUACCCGAAGCCUGUGAGCUAACUUUUAGAGGCAGCAGUCGAAGGUAGAGCCAAUGAUUGGGGUGAAGUCGUAACAAGGUAAC